AUGCUCACUUCAGCAGCACAUACACUAAAACUGGAAUGACACAGAGAAGAUUAGCAAGGCCCCUGCGCAAGGAGGACAUGUAAAUUCAUGAAGUGUUCCAUAUUUCA